GAGGGGUUGGGGUGGGUGCGCUGCUUCAAAGGCAGCGCUCGCCGCGGCAGCGGCGACCGGGCAUUCAGCCCGCCCGCCGCUCACC
rnacentral:tRNA from 1 species